UCUAUUCUUCCUGAGGUUUUACCAGAGACUUAUAAGAGUAUUGAAGUAGUUGAAGAUGUGGAUGGAGAAAAGAAUGGAUCUGUUACCCUUUGGAAAAUGAAUCCAAGUACAUUGAUUGAAGGAGCUCCUGUUAUGAUGGAAGAGAAG